rnacentral:misc_RNA from 1 species
AAGUCGUAACAAGGUUUCCGUAGGUGAACCUGCGGAAGGAUCAUUAACGAGUAACUGAACAGGUUGUAGCUGGCCUUUCGGGGCAUGUGCACGCCUGGCUCAUCCACUCUUCAACCUCUGUGCACUCAUUGUAGGUCGGUGGAAAGGCAGGUUCUUUUAGAAUCUGCUUGAAAGCCUUCCUAUGUUUUACUACAAACGCUUCAGUUUAAGAAUGUAUCUCUGCGUAUAACGCAUCUAUAUACAACUUUCAGCAACGGAUCUCUUGGCUCUC